rnacentral:tRNA from 1 species
GAGGGUAUAACUCAGUGGGAGAGCACGUGCUUAAUACACACAAGGUCCUGGGUUCAAUCCCCAGUACCUCCA